GCGCCGGCGGCGGUCGGCGACGUGAGGUCCCAUCUGAACCGGCGUGCUAUUGGCGGUCAACAAUAAAUGCGUGCAAACGACAGGCCAUUCUCCGUCCAUGGCGGGCAAGGGACAGGCCUGAGGCCUCGGCUUUAGGCCAACCCCAUUUCCAGCUCUGCCCCUCUCGCUUCCACGCCUUCUCGUCGCCUUCUCUCCGGGGGCAAUUUGGUCAUCCCCAAUCCGUCCUUGUCAUCGCGCACCGAAACCAACGGCGGCGAUGCCCCAUGGACCCCGCCCCCGGUCUUCGGUGCCGACGUCUUCUGCUUUCAACAAGCUUCGCCUCGGCCGGCGAGACGGGGGAGAAUAAUUAGAGGAAAAGAUCGGAUCUGUGAGAGGAGAAAGAGGAAAUAAGUUUAGAUCUGGCGGCGGCGGCGGUGAUGGAGGGGAAGGGGACGAGGAUGGCGCCCUACCGGGAGGAUUGCUGGAGCGAGGGGGAAACCUCGGCGCUGGUUGACGCGUGGGGCGACCGCUACUUGGAGCUCAACCGUGGGAGCCUCCGCCAGCAGCACUGGCAGGAGGUCGCUGACGCUGUCAACUCCCGCGCAGGAGCGCGCGGCCGCAGCCGCCCGCUCCGAACCGAUGCGCAGUGCAAGAACCGGGUCGAUACCCUCAAGAAGAAGUACAAGAACGAGAAGGCAAGGAUCGCAGCUGGAAGAGGAGGAGGAGGAGGAGACGGCGGCGCGGGGGGCUGGAGCUUCUUCUCCCGCCUUGAUGCCCUCGUGGGGUCGUCGUCCGGUCCGCCCCAUGGCAAGAACCCUCCCGCUUCGCCUCUGCUCUCCUCCCACCGUAAAGGCUCCUCCAUGCGUCAAGCUAGCGUGAGGGAGAAAAAGCCAGCGGCGACCGGGAUCGCCGCCGCCGCCGCCGCUAACGACCUCGACGACGAGGAGGAAGGGAACGGCUUUAGGUCGCCGUCGGGUUCAUCCUCCUCAAAGAAGAAGAGAAGGGCUCGGGGGCGAGCCCGCGACGAGCUCCGUGAGCUGGCGAGGGCAAUAGAGAGCUUCGCCGAGAUGUACCAGAGGAUGGAAGAAGCGAAGCAGCAGCAGAGGACGGAGCUGGAGAAGAAGCGGAUGGAGUUCACCAAGGAGCUCGAGCUCCAGCGGAUGCAAAUCUUUGUGGACUCUCAGGUGCAGCUUGCCAAGAUCAAGCGUGUCAAGCCAUCCGAAAAAGAUAGUUACAGACUGAACUAAGAAUCUGAACUGAAGCAAAUGGUGCUGUUAGUGAGCUGCAUUCUGAAGUCUGCAAUUGCAUGCACCCUAAACUUGAAGUUUGGAUUUAUUUGCUGGUUUAUUUUGGCGGCGGCGGAGGCCGAGAGGUGAACUCGUGGCCGGAGCCAGCCAGGGUGGACUUACGGCGGCUUCGUUUGGGUUACGGCCUUACGGGAUCAAUUGUUAUGCGUUUGUUGGAUCAGGCCCAAUUGUGGUCCAAUUCAUCGAGCAAUAAUUGUAUCAGCUACCCAAUUCCGUUCAUGGGCUGAAUUUGGAACAGGCCCAAUGGUGGUCCACGUUCUUCGUUCACAUUCGAAGAAUUCACUCCUAUAUAAACCAAAUCACGGAGCGGUACUCGGUGAGACCGGGUCUGCAGGGAGACGGGGAACGUCCAGGUCGCCCUCCGAUCAACGCAUGGAAACCGAUCGGCGACCUCCCUCCUCUCUGAUCCCGCCUCCGCCGCUUUUCGAUGCCGGCAUCGAGCACUCCUACACCUCCACGGAAGCAGCUGCCUCGCCAUCGUCCAACGCUUCCCCGAUCGCCGAUCCCGAUCGCCGUCAAUCUCGGAGAGGCUCCCUCGUCGUAUCUCCUUCUCUCGAAGUGGAUGUCUUCGCCGAUGCCAUUGAUGAGG